GACGUAGGAGGCGAGCGUUAUCCGGAUUCACUGGGCGUAAAGCGCAUGUAGGCGGUUGGAUAAGUCCGUUGUUAAAGCCCCUGGACUCAACUGGGGGAGGUCAAUGGAGACUAUUCGACUUGAGGGCAACAGAGGCACAUGGAACUCCCGGUGUAGCGGUGGAAUGCGUAGAGAUCGGGAAGAACACCCGUGGCGAAGGCGGUGUGCUGGGUUGCAACGUGAA
rnacentral:rRNA from 1 species